ACUUAACCUAAGGUUUUCAAAGAUGACAGUCUUUAGAGUCAUAGAACGUUAUUCUUCCUCCUUUCUAGAUUCAGCAAAGUUCCCUUCUGAGCAUUUUGUAAUUACUGCUGACUUACUUACCGAACAUACUGUAGGGGUUUAUAAUUGAAAAUGAGCUAUUAACUGCAUAACUGGGAAAAAAAAUUCAAACUAGUGUAACUGAUAUUAGUCCUGAGCAAAUUAAUACAAUUAAUCAUUUUUAACUGUUUUUUUGCUCAUAUGACAUAAUCAAAGGAUCAAAUUUUGAUCUGCAAAUGCAUGUAACUCCAUGAAAGUUCUAUAUGAAUACCUGAGGGCAAAAUAUGGUUUAACAUUGCAGGAUGUGCAGUUGCCAUUAACCUUGAAGGUACCAAACUUUUCCUCUGAUCUAGCUGUGUGAUUAUUACAUAACUACACUGCCUGCAGGAUCUUAACUACUUGAUUUUCAUACAUAAAGUAAGGUAAAAUCACAUAGAAGUCCUGCUUCUCUUCUCAACUUCCUUUCCUUCACAGGCCCCAACUCUUGAGUUUAGUGUAAUUGAAUAGCGAUGACUUUAACUUUUGAUAUUACUUCUUUUUAAAUAUCCACUAAAUAUUCCCUUUUGACACCACAGUGAUAGGUCCCUCCUUAGAGCCACUCCUAACUUCUAAAAUCCUAAAAUAAUCCUUCCUUAAGGCAGAUUUACAUGAAAAAGAAAACAUGUUGUUAUAACGUGAAUAGGAGGAGGUGGCCAGUAAGCAAUGACUAAGAUUGCUUCAUGGUGGGACAAAAAUAAGGUGCAUUAGGUGUUGGGUUUACCCAAAUCUUUACGGUUAAAUGAGAACUUUAAAGAAGACCAACUUUAUGACAAACUGCUUAAAUGCCCAAAUAUAAAAAGAGGUCAUUUCAGUUCAUGCAUAUUUUUUAUCUUUCUAACCCACCUGGCAGGGUCUGUAAGAGCAGCCAUAUCUGCAGACUUCCUGCUCCCCUGAGACACUCUGGCAUGCAGUGUGAUAGUGACCUCAGUAGCCCCAUCAUCAGCAUUAGAGCAGGGAGUCUGCCGAUGGGUCUGACAGCACAGAAAAUACAUGGUUAUUUUAACAAGAAGAAUGCACACACACAACUGAACUGAAGUCUGAAUUAAUGUGACUAUCCUCAGCACAGACCAGUUUUGCUGGCCAGGAUGAUAGACAUCUACUAUAAAACCCACCAAAUAAAACUCAGAAUUAUCAUGAAAUUUCAGGAUAUUGCAAUCAGCCAAUUAUGCUUAUGUGUUUCAAGUUCUCCAACUGUUACUGAAUGAUACAAAUAAUAUACCAGCUGUUUUAUGAAAUACACCAGAUUUGCACUAUAUUUGGCCUUUUCGAGUCUUCUGGAAUCUCUCCCAUCUUCCACGACUUUUCAAAGAUAAAUGGAUAAUGGUGGAUUUAAGGCUGAUCUAUGGAUCUGGAUCCAAUUCUCCAAAGAGCUCCAUAGUAUAAUUAGCGAUUGUUGUGACAUCGCAAAGCAAAAUUUAUGACAUAGCAAAGCAAACAAUACAACACCGGUCUAGGCCUCCUUACAGGAUUAAAUCAUCCCUGUCCAGAAACUUUAAUCUAGAAAAAAUGAUGACUUUGAGUUGACAGAGCUCAGAAAAAAAGAACACACUCCAAGCAGGAUACCACCAAAGAACACCUAGGGGUUGAAGAAGUGGUUGUGUUGAUUCAGAAGAUGGUAUUCUUCUCUGUCAGUCAGCAAUGAGCCAAUGUACAAGCAUGGUAUUAAGGGGAACUGCACUACUCUCUUCAAAAUAAAUAAUGAAAAUCAACUACGUAUAAAAAAAUUCUAUUGCAUUUUCCUAAAAUUUGGGUUGUACUUCCCAGUACUCUGUCCUAAUACUUAAAUUUCAUCUAAAAUCUUCCCUGCAGUUUAAAUCAUUUAUGAUAUUCUUCACUUCUUCUUUUAAUUUAGGUUUUCAUCCAGAUGUGGGUAAAAUGAACACUGGGACUUGGGUAAAGCUUCCUACACCCUUUAGGUAUUCUUGGAUAUGAAAGAUGUUAUAUAUAAGCAUAAGAUCAUUAUAAUUACAAAAACUUGGGAGUUCCAGUUAUAAACAGCUUUACAGUGUAUUAAAAACAUUUAGAUUGUACUCGAUAGGUAACGUUUAUUCUAUGGUGACUAUUUUGCACCUGUAGCGUUUCAACACAGAAGUUUUUUGAUGUUUGGCUGUUCUUUCUUUACGACCGAUGAGUCAAUUGCCUUGCUGACAGAUUCUAAGCUCAAUCUAGUAUCAUUCAAAUUUGUUCUGUUGAAGCUACUUAUUACCCAGAAAGAGACUGGUAUGUGCAUACAAUUAUAGCUUGUACACUACUUACAUCAAAC